UGGCUCUCGCAUCGAUGAAGAACGCAGCGAAAUGCGAUAAGUAAUGUGAAUUGCAGAAUUCAGUGAAUCAUCGAAUCUUUGAACGCACCUUGCGCUCCUUGGUAUUCCGAGGAGCAUGCCUGUUUGAGUGUCUUGAACUCAUCAACCCUCCCCGUUUCCUGUGCGGUGGGCCGGUUGGAGCUGGGGGCCUGCGGCCGCGAGGCCGCUCCCCUCAAAUGAUUCGGUCGGGCCUGUGGGUCGGACUCGGUCGGGCGUUGUACCAUCCUCGCUCUUUUCUCCGAGACGCUCCCCGUUUGUAAGAGCCCUUCCAUGGCUGCCUGUGGAGCGGUGGCCAAGCAAUCUUUGAAAUCUGACCUCAAAUCAGGUAGGACUACCCGCUGA
rnacentral:misc_RNA from 1 species